AUUGAACGCUGGCGGCAUGCCUUACACAUGCAAGUCGAACGGUAACGGGCCUUCGGGUGCCGACGAGUGGCGAACGGGUGGGUAAUACAUCGGAACGUGCCCGAUCGUGGGGGGUAACGAGGCGAAAGCUUUGCUAAUACCGCAUACGAUCUACGGAUGAAAGCGGGGGACCGCAAGGCCUUGCGCGGGCGGAGCGGCCGAUGGCAGAUUAGGUAGUUGGUGGGAUAAAAGCUUACCAAGCCGACGAUCUGUAGCUGGUCUGAGAGGAUGAUCAGCCACACUGGGACUGAGACACGGCCCAGACUCCUACGGGAGGCAGCAGUGGGGAAUGUUGGACAAAGGGCGCAAGCCUGAUCCAGCCAUGCCGCGUGCAGGAUGAAGGCCUUCGGGUUGUAAACUGCUUUUGUACGGAACGAAAAGCCUUCUUUUAAUACAGGAGGGUCAUGACGGUACCGUAAGAAUAAGCACCGGCUAACUACGUG
rnacentral:rRNA from 1 species